GAAACGACUGCUAAGACUGGAUAGGAGACAAGAAGGCAUCUUUUUGUUUUUAAAAGACCUAGCAAUAGGUAUGCUUAGGGAGGAGCUUGCGUCACAUUAGUUAGUUGGUGGGGUAAAGGCCUACCAAGACUAUGAUGUGUAGCCGGGCUGAGAGGUUGAACGGCCACAUUGGGACUGAGACACGGCCCAAACUCCUACGGGAGGCAGCAGUAGGGAAUUUUCGGCAAUGGAGGAAACUCUGACCGAGCAACGCCGCGUGAACGAUGAAGUAUUUCGGUACGUAAAGUUCUUUUAUUAGGGAAGAAUAAAUGAUGGAAAAAUCAUUCUGACGGUACCUAAUGAAUAAGCCCCGGCUAACUAUGUGCCAGCAGCCGCGGUAAUACAUAGGGGGCAAGCGUUAUCCGGAAUUAUUGGGCGUAAAGGGUGCGUAGGCGGUUAAAUAAGUUUAUGGUCUAAGUGCAAUGCUUAACAUUGUGAUGCUAUAAAAACUGUUUAACUAGAGUAAGAUAGAGGCAAGUGGAAUUCCAUGUGUAGUGGUAAAAUGCGUAAAUAUAUGGAGGAACACCAGUAGCGAAGGCGGCUUGCUGGGUCUUUACUGACGCUGAGGCACGAAAGCGUGGGGAGCAAACAGGAUUAGAUACCCUGGUAGUCCACGCCGUAAACGAUGAGUACUAAAUGUUGGGUAAAACCAGUGUUGAAGUUAACACAUUAAGUACUCCGCCUGAGUAGUACGUACGCAAGUAUGAAACUUAAAGGAAUUGACGGGACUCCGCACAAGCGGUGGAUCAUGUUGUUUAAUUCGAAGGUACCCGAAAAACCUCACCAGGUCUUGACAUGCUUCUGCAAAGCUGUAGAAACACAGUGGAGGUUAUCAGUUGCACAGGUGGUGCAUGGUUGUCGUCAGCUCGUGUCGUGAGAUGUUGGGUUAAGUCCCGCAACGAGCGCAACCCUUAUUGUUAGUUGCCAGCACGUAAUGGUGGGGACUUUAGCAAGACUGCCAGUGAUAAAUUGGAGGAAGGUGGGGACGACGUCAAAUCAUCAUGCCCCUUAUGACCUGGGCUACAAACGUGAUACAAUGGCUGUUACAAAGGGUAGCUGAAACGCAAGUUUUUGGCGAAUCUCAAAAAAACAGUCUCAGUUCGGAUUGAAGUCUGCAACUCGACUUCAUGAAGUUGGAAUCGCUAGUAAUCGCGAAUCAGCAUGUCGCGGUGAAUACGUUCUCGGGGUUUGUACACACCGCCCGUCA
rnacentral:rRNA from 4 species